rnacentral:rRNA from 1 species
GACGAACGCUGGCGGCGUGCUUAACACAUGCAAGUCGAACGGAAAGGCCCUGCUUGCAGGGUACUCGAGUGGCGAACGGGUGAGUAACACGUGGGUGAUCUGCCCUGCACUUCGGGAUAAGCCUGGGAAACUGGGUCUAAUACCGGAUAGGAGCCAUUUUUAGUGUGAUGGUCGGAAAGUUUUUUCGGUGUAGGAUGAGCUCGCGGCCUAUCAGCUUGUUGGUGGGGUAAUGGCCUACCAAGGCGGCGACGGGUAGCCGGCCUGAGAGGGUGGACGGCCACAUUGGGACUGAGAUACGGCCCAGACUCCGACGGGAGGCAGCAGUGGGGAAUAUUGCACAAGGGGCGCAAGCCUGAUGCAGCGACGCCGCGUGGGGGAUGACGGCCUUCGGGUUGUAAACUCCUUUCGCUAGGGACGAAGCUUUUUGUGACGGUACCUAGAUAAGAAGCACCGGCUAACUACGUG